rnacentral:rRNA from 1 species
UACGUAGGGGCCUAGCGUUGUCCGGAAUUAUUGGGCGUAAAGAGCUCGUAGGCGGUUCGGCAAGUCGGAUGUGAAAUCUCCACGCUUAACGUGGAGGGGCCAUUCGAAACUGCUGUGACUCGAGUCCGGUAGGGGAGUGUGGAAUUCCCGGUGUAGCGGUGAAAUGCGCAGAUAUCGGGAGGAACACCAGUGGCGAAGGCGAGUCCCUGGACAACUCCUGACACUGAGGCACGAAAGCUAGGGGAGCGAA